UGGACUUUGGACUUUCGAUUUUGAAAUUAUAUUGUUUUUUUAGAUUUUCGUAUAAUUAUAUUAAAAUCUAAACAGAGAACGAAAAUUUGCUGCUGAUAAGCGUGCUACACUGCAUGCACAUGCAUGAUAUAAUAAUAUACAAGGUAAAAAAUCUCUAGUAUCAGUUAUAUAGGUAUACCAGCAGUGCAAUUUCAUACGGAUAUAGCCUGUAGGAUAGCAGGAUUGUCCAAUAUUUUG